GUUGACCUCGGAUCAGGUAGGGAUACCCGCUGAACUUAAGCAUAUCAAUAAGCGGAGGAAAAGAAACCAACAGGGAUUGCCCCAGUAACGGCGAGUGAAGCGGCAACAGCUCAAA
rnacentral:rRNA from 1 species